GACACAGAGAAGCAUAAUAACAACAACAAUAACAAUAACAACUAUAAUAAUAAUAGAAAUAUGACCUUUAAUUUAACCGAGAUGUUACAGCUAUUGUAGUCUUAAUCAUCUCAAUAGGGAACAAGGUGUUUAAAAUAGCUCGAGGUCACCACAUCUUUUGCUCCACACUGAUUGAGCUGCUCCCAUUUCCUGUUUUGUAGGGAUGUGGCAACACUGUUUUACUUUUAUUGCCCUUUGUUCAAUUGUUCUCCCUGAAAACGGCUACUAGCUCUGUAAUCUACCUGAACAUUGUCCUUGUCCAUUUCAUGCUGACAUAGACGGGCAGAUUGGAACAUCGUGUUUGUUAUUUUGCAAUAAGAGUAAGAUGUAUGAUGGUGUAAUUUUUUUUGUAGGAACAAGGACAUUUUUGUUUUUGGAUGUUUGUUUAUUCUCUAGUUAUUUUUGUAGAAAAUGUUGCUUACUUUAUGAACUGCCUAUACAAAUUACUCACAAAUUAUUGUUAAUAAAUAUUUUGUACCAAGUUCAACCGUGUUGACUGAAAACACAUGAACAUAACAUACAAAUUCAACAGAGAAAACCUUAGUGGGUCCAUGUUUAUGUGAGAGAGAAUACAGAAGAGUGAGGCCAAUACAAAUACAUUUACUGUAUAUUUAGUGCUCUGGGAACGGUGUUUCUCCUUUACUUCAGGCUGUAAAUUUUGUUUGAACUGGCCGAACGGAGAGAAAAAGAAAGAGAGAGAGAGAUUGAGCUUUGCUCUAGGUAAUAACUUUGUCCUUUGUCUCCAUGGCAACAUACAAUAGAGGAAGUUAACAAAGCACUGACCUGCCCACUUUUACCUGGCACUAUCCAGCGAGACAAUCCCUUAGCUGUUCCAGGUUUGCAGGAAGUGGAGAGUCAGUCGUAAAAUGGAGACAUGCUCACUGCCAGGGAGGUGAUCUGAGACAGUUUUCACUCAUACGGACAAAACAAGGUAAUCUGGAUUUUUUAAAAUCACAAUCUACAGCAAUGAAGUCUACAAAACCAAGUAAAUUGUUAAUCACGUUUCGGACUUAUAUAAGCUUUCAAAUGAAAAAGAGAUUACAAAUGUUUCCAUCGACAUAACGCCGCAAGAUCACAGGGUAGGCAGGCAAUAAUUAUGUAAUGUUUUAGUGUCUACAAAGUUGUUUCCUUUUGUAAAUAUGCUGGUGUAAUCUUUGAAAAUACAUCACAUAUGACCUCCUUAUAAUGGGUACAGUGUUUAGGGAAUAACUUUGACUGCCUAAUAUUAUCUCGGCCUUACAGAGCAAACUCAGACUUUAGUGAACAUUAUUAAGAUAAGGGAAAGAUAAAUUCAUGUCUUUACCAGUACAGUGUUGACAGUGUUCAUUUUAUACACACUCAUAUUUGACAAGUUUUUGCGUCCCAUGCUUUGUUUCCCAGCACAGGACUUAAUGGCCAUGGAUACCAUCUUUGCUACUCUGGCUUGUUGCCUUCUGGCUCCUUCUUUUGCUAUGGCACAAACUGAAAAGGGGAAUUUGAGUUUGACUCUCACAGCUACAGUAACAACCCCUGACUUAAAUUUGACACACAUCACUACAACGGUAACAUCCAACUCGACUGUGCACGCAACUGUUACUUCAGACUUGACUGACGACACAGCAUUUACCAGCAUGCCCCCAAACAAUGAAACAUUCACCACGACCACGACAGUAACAACUGAGAGUACCAACCACAGCGAGACUUCUCAGUCUACAACUAUCAUGACUCCUCUAACAAACAGUACAUCACUGACGACCACAACACCUGGCACUCAAACGCCAACAUUUACUGUGCUGACAACGCCAGCAAACCAGACCACAGUAGAUUACAUAAGUACAUCUGAUACUGCAUUAAUCACAACUGCAAAUUCAUCUACCACUGUCAAUGCAACCUCAGAUCAAACAUACAGCACCUCACAAGGUAAGGCAAGGAUCCAUGUUUUUAAGUGCAGUUUUAUUACAGAUUUGAUUGCUCAUUGUAUGUUUUUAUCUGACUUUUUUUCCCCGCUGUGCCACUAGGUUCGGGACUCAACAUUCCAGAAAAGAAUAUGACAGUUCUCUUCAGUGUUGUACUUGGAGUGUUUGCUUUUGCAUUGGUUAUGUUCAUGUUUCACAGAUGUAAACAUAAAACCCAGUACUUGCACCAACCUCUAAACAACACCAAUGACGCGGAUGCAUUUGCAGCAGCCGACGACACACUUGUAAUUUCUGGAGGACUUUAUGAUGGCCAUCCAAUCUACGACAACGUACCGCCUGCCCCUGUAAACCAAUCUCAAUUCCGGCUUGAGUUCCUUCAUUAAGGAGAGAGAGUCACCGCACUUUGAGAAAUCACCUUUGAUGCUUGAUAGGCAUGGAUGAAACCAAUUUUCCUCAUCCAAUAAUACUACAUUUUCAAGACUGAAAUUUCACCCUUGUGAAUUUUUAAUUCUAAAUGAGAAGCAAAAGGCAAAGAGGAAAUGAAAAUCAUGACGGGCAGAACAUUCAAACAAGGACAAUGUUGAGGAAUUUGAACAUUACUUUUACUCAUAUCACUGUCAAUAGUAAGUCAUGGUAACACAGAAGUAGAUAGUAACACAUAGCAACUACACCUGUUACCAUACAGCCAAUAUAAACUUGUGCAGAAUGAAUGAGAUUUCAUAUGAACGCCAGUAAAGAUAAAUUAUUCAAUACAACUCUAGCAAGAGAUUCUUUUUCAAAGUACUUAAAAGCAAUGAGGAUGACUUGACAGUCACU